rnacentral:rRNA from 1 species
GUCGUCAGCUCGUGUCGUGAGAUGUUGGGUUAAGUCCCGCAACGAGCGCAACCCUCGCCUUUAGUUGCCAGCAUUCAGUUGGGCACUCUAAAGGGACUGCCGGUGUCAAACCGGAGGAAGGUGGGAUGACGUCAAGUCCUCAUGGCCUUUAUGUCUAGGGCUACACACGUACUACAAUGGCAGGUACAAAGGGCAGCGACACAGCGAUGUGAUGCGAAUCCCGAAAAGCCUGUCUCAGUCCGGAUCGGAGUCUGCAACUCGACUCCGUGAAGUUGGAAUCGCUAGUAAUCGUGGAUCAGCAUGCCACGGUGAAUACGUUCCCGGGCCUU